rnacentral:misc_RNA from 1 species
CCAAUAGCGUAUAUUAAAGUUGUUGCAGUUAAAAAGCUCGUAGUUGAAUUUCAGGCCUGGCUGGACGGUCCGCCCUUCGGGUGAGUACUGUCUGUGGUCGGGUCCUACCUUCUGGCGAAGCGUCAUGGCCUUAACCGGCCGUGGCGGGGAACCAGGACUUUUACUGUGAAAAAAUUAGAGUGUUCAAAGCAGGCAAUCGCUUGGAUACAUUAGCAUGGAAUAAUGGAGUAGGACAAUGGUUCUAUUUGUUGGUUUCUAGGACCGUUGUAAUGAUUAAUAGGGAUAGUUGGGGGCAUUAGUAUUCAAUUGUCAGAGGUGAAAUUCUUGGAUUUAUUGAAGACUAACUACUGCGAAAGCAUUUGCCAAGGAUGUUUUCAUUAAUCAAGAACGAAAGUUAGGGGAUCGAAGACGAUCAGAUACCGUCGUAGUCUUAACCAUAAACUAUGCCGACUAGGAAUCGGGCGAUGUUGAAAAAAUGACGCGCUCGGCACCUCAUG